UUCGCAAUGCCCGAAAGGGUGACGAUGCGACGCCGCGUGAGCGAAGAAGGCCCUAGGGUUGUAGAGCUCUGUCAGGGGUCAAGAAAUGUAAAUAGGUUAAUACCCUGUUUAUUUGACAAAGGCCCCAAAGGAAGCCACGGCUAACUCUGUGCCAGCAGCCGCGGUAAUACAGAGGUGGCAAGCGUUGUUCGGUAUUAUUGGGCGUAAAGAGCACGUAGGUGGUUUUGUAAGUCAGAUGUGAAAGCCUUCUGUUCAAAGGAAGAACGGCAUCUGAAACUGCAGAUCUUGAGUGUAGGAGGGGAGAGUGGAACUUCUGGUGGAGCGGUGAAAUGCGUAGAUAUCAGAAGGAACGUCGGCGGCGAAAGCGUCUCUCUGGCCUAUUACUGACACUGAGUGUGCGAAAGUUAGGGGAGCAAACGGGAUUAGAUACCCCGGUAGUCCUAACCGUAAACGAUGGGCACUAAGUAGAGGGA
rnacentral:rRNA from 1 species